rnacentral:rRNA from 1 species
AGAGUUUGAUCAUGGCUCAGAAUGAACGCUGGCGGCGUGCUUAACACAUGCAAGUCGAACGAGAAAGCUUUAGCUUGCUAGAGCGAGUAAAGUGGCGAACGGGUGAGUAACGCGUGGGUAACCUACCCCUAAACCAGGAAUAACUACUCGAAAGGGUAGCUAAUACCGAAUAAUGCCUCUUGAUCUUCGGGUCAUAGGGCCAAAGGUGGCCUCUCUGUAGAAGCUACUGUUUAGGGAUGGGCCCGCGUACCAUUAGCUUGUUGGUAGGGUAAUGGCCUACCAAGGCUGUGAUGGUUAGCUGGUCUGAGAGGAUGAUCAGCCACACUGGAACUGGAACACGGUCCAGACUCCUACGGGAGGCAGCAGUGAGGAAUCUUGCGCAAUGGGGGAAACCCUGACGCAGCAACGCCGCGUGAGGGAUGACGGUCUUCGGAUUGUAAACCUCUUUCGAUCGGGAAGAAUAUCUUUGACGUGAAUAACGUCAAGGACUGACGGUACCGGGAGAAGAAGCCACGGCCAACUCCGUGCCAGCA